CAGUAGCCGCGGGAAUACGAACCGUGCGAACGUUAUUCGGAAUUACUGGGCUUAAAGCGCGUGUAGGCGGGCCGCCACGUCGGUUGCUGAAAUCCCCCGGCUCAACCGGGGAAGUGGCAUCGAUACGAGCGGCCUAGGGGGGGUAGGGGGAUCUGGAACUUCCGGUGGAGCGGUGAAUGCGUUGAGAUCGGAAGGAACGCCCGUGGCGAAAGCGAGGUCCUGGACCCUUUCUGACGCUGAGACGCGAAAGCCAGGGGAGCGAACGGGAUUAGAUACCCCUGUAGUCCCUGUCUCUUAUACA
rnacentral:rRNA from 1 species